CGGGUGUAGCUCAGUUGGUUAGAGUGCCGGCCUGUCACGCCGGAGGUCGCGGGUUCGAGCCCCGUCACUCGCGCCA
rnacentral:tRNA from 3 species